UUCCGGUUGAUCCUGCCGGACCCGACUGCUAUUUGGGUGAGGAUAAGCCAUGCGAGUUGAAUGGGAAACCUAAAAAUCCCAUGGCAAACUGCUCAGUAACACAUGAUCAACUUGCCCUAUAGAGGAAAAUAACCUCGGGAAACUGAGGAUAAUGUUCCAUAGUUGAAUCGGCUUGGAAAAGUUUUUCAAUAAAAGGGAUAAGGAAAAUGGUCCUUACCUGCUAUAGGAUAGGAUCGUGCUCGAUUAUGGUUGUUGGUGAGGUAAAGGCUCACCAAGCCGAUAAUCGAUAGGGGCCGUGAGAGCGGGAGCCCCGAGAUGGGUACUGAGACAACGACCCAGGCCUUAUGAGGCGCAGCAGGCGCGAAACCUCCGCAAUACACGAAAGUGUGACGGGGUUACCCAAAGUGUUCUAUUUAGAACUGUGGUAGGUGAGUAAUGUUCCCUACUAGAAAGGAGAGGGCAAGGCUGGUGCCAGCCGCCGCGGUAAAACCAGCUCUUCAAGUGGUCGGGAUAAUUAUUGGGCUUAAAGUGUCCGUAGCCGGUUUAGUAAGUUCCUGGUAAAAUCGGGUAGCUUAACUAUCUAUAUGCUAGGAAUACUGCUAUACUAGAGGGCGGGAGAGGUCUGAGGUACUACAGGGGUAGGGGUGAAAUCUUAUAAUCCUUGUAGGACCACCAGUGGCGAAGGCGUCAGACUGGAACGCGCCUGACGGUGAGGGACGAAAGCCAGGGGAGCGAACCGGAUUAGAUACCCGGGUAGUCCUGGCCGUAAACGAUGCAUACUAGGUGAUGGCACGGCCAUGAGCCGUGUCAGUGCCGUAGGGAAACCGUUAAGUGUGCCGCCUGGGAAGUACGGUCGCAAGGCUAAAACUUAAAGGAAUUGGCGGGGGAGCACCACAAGGGGUGAAGCCUGCGGUUCAAUUGGAUUCAACGCCGGG
rnacentral:rRNA from 1 species